rnacentral:rRNA from 1 species
GAACGAGAAAAUCCGGGUGUAGCAAUACAUCCGGGUGAGUAAAGUGGCGCACGGGUGAGUAACACGUAGCUAACCUGCCCUGGAGUGGGGGAUAACNCCGGGGAAACCUGGGCUAAUACCGCAUAACGUCCCGCCUUCAAAAGAAAGCGGGACCAAAGGCCCGCAAGGGUCGCUCGAGGAGGGGGCUGCGGCCGAUUAGCUAGUUGGCGGGGUAACGGCCCACCAAGGCGAUGAUCGGUAGCCGGCCUGAGAGGGCGCACGGCCACACUGGCACUGAAACACGGGCCAGACUCCUACGGGAGGCAGCAGUGGGGAAUUUUGCACAAUGCCCGAAAGGGUGAUGCAGCAACGCCGCGUGAGGGAUGAAGGCCUUCGGGUCGUAAACCUCUUUCGACCGGGAAAAACGGGCGCGUGAAGAACGCGUUCUGAUGGUACCGGUGGAAGAAGCCCCGGCCAACUACGUG